rnacentral:rRNA from 1 species
UACGGGGGGUGCAAACGGUUGCUCGGAAUUAUUGGGCGUAAAGCGCACGUAGGCGGUCUUGUAAGUCGGGUGUGAAAGCCCGGGGCUUAACCCCGGAAGUGCACUCGAAACUGCAAGGCUUGAGUAUGGAAGAGGGUCUCGGAAUUCCCGGUGUAGAGGUGAAAUUCGUAGAUAUCGGGAGGAACACCAGUGGCGAAGGCGGAGACCUGGGCCAAUACUGACGCUGAGGUGCGAAAGCGUGGGGAGCAAACAGG